UUGAAAAAAGUCACCGUGAUACCCCCAAUCCUCUCUCCCACAUCUCCGCCAAGAAUUUUGGUGCCAAUAAAGAGAACAAAUAUUUACUGGCACCCACGGUGGAGCAAGGCGGAUCUUUCCUCAUUUAACCAACAAACUUUUGUAGUGGGCGUUGCUGUUCCCAUUUUACAACUAAAGGAGCUGGGACUCAAAAGGGAUAACUUAGUUGCCAGCGAGGGGCGGGGUUAAAUGCUCCCUGGGCGGUACCUGCCCAUCCUCCAGCACACCUGCAGUCACGCUUGCCACGCCGCAGAGGCCACGUGGAACACACCUUGCAAAUGCUCACGGAGAGGAUGCUUCUUGCUCCUGAUGGGAACUGCCUUCUCAGCCCCUGAGGCGUUGCGGGGGGCGGGGGCAUCUACGCUUUGCUCCCGGAGAGCUGUUUGGACUCAGCUUUCGCCAGUUGUCGGGAUUCUCCCAGCAGGUCUGCGGGUGCCCACGAUGCUGCAUUUCUAAUGAGCCCCAGGUGAAACGAUGCUGCUGCCCUCAGGCCACAUCUCGAGGAGCAGUCUCAGGUAUGACGGUUUUGAACACAGAAUAUUUCAGGAACCACAAAUGUCAUCAGCGAAAGCACUGGUCUCUGGCAGUACUCGGGAAACUACCAGAAGAAAUUCAUGAAAAGCGUGUAUGGUUGGAAAUGCUACCUAAGAAACGGCUUCCCCUAAGAACAAGGGCUCAGACAGAAGCUAGCCAGGAUCACAGGUGACCCUGCAGGCUUCGAUGCUGCCAGAGUUCUCCCAGGGAGCUAGGAGGAGGGAAGCGUCUUUACUGUGUUUAUUCAACAGUCCCUCGUUCAGGAGGCUUCUGGAGAUGGCAUAGCUCCAACAAAGGCAGGACGAAGG